rnacentral:rRNA from 1 species
CUCAGUUCGGAUUGGAGGCUGAAACCCGCCUCCAUGAAGUUGGAUUCGCUAGUAAUCGCGCAUCAGCCAUGGCGCGGUGAAUACGUUCCCGGGCCUUGUACACACCGCCCGUCAAGCCAUGGGAGCCGGGGGUGCCUGAAGUUCGUGACCGCAAGGAGCGACCUAGGGCAAAACUGGUGACUGGGGCUAAGUCGUAACAAGGUACC